rnacentral:rRNA from 1 species
UACGGGGGGAGCAAGCGUUGUUCGGAUUUACUGGGCGUAAAGGGCGCGUAGGCGGCCACCGCAAGUCGACUGUGAAAUCUCCGGGCUUAACUCGGAAAGGUCAGCCGAUACUGCGGGGCUAGAGUGCAGAAGGGGCAACUGGAAUUCUCGGUGUAGCGGUGAAAUGCGUAGAUAUCGAGAGGAACACCUGCGGCGAAGGCGGGUUGCUGGGCUGACACUGACGCUGGUUGUGCGAAAGCUAGGGGAGCGAACGGG